AAACUCAAAUGAAUUGACGGACCCCGCACAAGCGGUGGAUUAUGUUGUUUAAUUCGACGCAACGCGAGAACCUUACCAGGCCUUGACAUACUCGGCAAAGCUCUAGAGAUAGAGUGGAGGUUAUCCGGGAUACAGGUGGUGCAUGGUUGUCGUCAGCUCGUGUCGUGAGAUGUUGGGUUAAGUCCCGCAACGAGCGCAACCCUUGUCUUUAGUUACCAUCAUUCAGUUGGGGACUCUAGAGAGACUGCCGGUGAUAAACCGGAGGAAGGUGGGGAUGACGUCAAAUCAUCAUGCCCCUUAUGGCCUGGGCUACAAACGUAAUACAAUGGCGUAUACAAAGGGAUGCGAAAGGGCGACCUGGAGCAAAACUCACAAAGUACGUCUCAGUUCAGAUUGGAGUCUGCAACUCGACUCCAUGAAGGCGGAAUCGCUAGUAAUCGCGGAUCAGCAUGCCGCGGUGAAUACGUUCCCAGGCCUU
rnacentral:rRNA from 1 species